rnacentral:rRNA from 1 species
UCAUGGCUCAGAUUGAACGCUGGCGGCAGGCUUAACACAUGCAAGUCGAGCGGAUGAAGGUAGCUUGCUACCGGAUUCAGCGGCGGACGGGUGAGUAAUGCUUAGGAAUCUGCCUAUUAGUGGGGGACAACAUUCCGAAAGGAAUGCUAAUACCGCAUACGUCCUACGGGAGAAAGCAGGGGACCUUCGGGCCUUGCGCUAUCAGAUGAGCCUAGGUCGGAUUAGCUAGUUGGUGGGGUAAUGGCUCACCAAGGCGACGAUCCGUAACUGGUCUGAGAGGAUGAUCCGCCACACUGGGACUGAGACACGGCCCAGACUCCUACGGGAGGCAGCAGUGGGGAAUAUUGGACAAUGGGCGAAAGCCUGAUCCAGCCAUGCCGCGUGUGUGAAGAAGGCCUUUUGGUUGUAAAGCACUUUAAGCGAGGAGGAGGCUACUCUAGUUAAUACCUAGAGAUAGUGGACGUUACUCGCAGAAUAAGCACCGGCUAACUCUGUGCCAGCAGCCGCGGUAAUACAGAGGGUGCGAGCGUUAAUCGGAUUUACUGGGCGUAAAGCGUGCGUAGGCGGCUGAUUAAGUCGGAUGUGAAAUCCCUGAGCUUAACUUAGGAAUUGCAUUCGAUACUGGUCAGCUAGAGUAUGGGAGAGGAUGGUAGAAUUCCAGGUGUAGCGGUGAAAUGCGUAGAGAUCUGGAGGAAUACCGAUGGCGAAGGCAGCCAUCUGGCCUAAUACUGACGCUGAGGUACGAAAGCAUGGGGAGCAAACAGGAUUAGAUACCCUGGUAGUCCAUGCCGUAAACGAUGUCUACUAGCCGUUGGGGCCUUUGAGGCUUUAGUGGCGCAGCUAACGCGAUAAGUAGACCGCCUGGGGAGUACGGUCGCAAGACUAAAACUCAAAUGAAUUGACGGGGGCCCGCA